rnacentral:lncRNA from 1 species
CAAUCAGCUAGCCUUGGGGUAUCUUUCACAAUGUAAUGGGUACUCAGCAACAUAAGUGUCCUAACUGGCCGCCUCUCAAAGAAAACUAAUACUGCAUACACAAAUAUAAAUUGGCAACAGCUUAAACACAAGUGCUGAUCCAUCGGGAACAGGAAAUGGGAACAGAGGAAACAGGAGCAGAGGACUCAAAGGAGGCAUCAAGUUCUACCUCCAGAAUUAGAACAGAAAAGAGAAAGGAAAGCUGCAAACCCAGUCAAUCCUGGCUGUGCAUGCAUCAGAACCACACCAGCCUUCCACGUCUGAGAUCCCGAGACAAGCUGCCUCUGAACCAGUAAGAGCCUCUUGCUCCUUCCUUCUGAGGAGCUACCCGGUGCCUGAGUACUGACUACAUACUCUCCAGAGGCAAGUGUGUCUUCAGACUUUCCACCUUCAUAGGCACAGUCCAGACCUAGUCGUCUUAUUACUUCUUUGUUAUGGGGCACUUUGAAAUAUAGAACCACGCCUUUAUGUUCUAGGACACUGGUCUCUCCCCAUUCCCUCUAUGUUAGAACAGCACUAUUGGUGCUGUGACAUAGGUCACCCCCUCUCAUGGACUUACACACUCCCUUUUCCAUUUCUUUCAUUCCAUUCAAGAAAUUUUGAAACAAGUGAUUUCUAAUUAAA